rnacentral:rRNA from 1 species
UGGGGAAUAUUGCACAAUGGGCGCAAGCCUGAUGCAGCGACGCCGCGUGAGGGAUGGAGGCCUUCGGGUUGUAAACCUCUUUUAUCGGGGAGCAAGCGAGAGUGAGUUUACCCGUUGAAUAAGCACCGGCUAACUACGUGCCAGCAGCCGCGGUAAUACGUAGGGUGCAAGCGUUAUCCGGAAUUAUUGGGCGUAAAGGGCUCGUAGGCGGUUCGUCGCGUCCGGUGUGAAAGUCCAUCGCUUAACGGUGGAUCUGCGCCGGGUACGGGCGGGCUGGAGUGCGGUAGGGGAGACUGGAAUUCCCGGUGUAACGGUGGAAUGUGUAGAUAUCGGGAAGAACACCAAUGGCGAAGGCAGGUCUCUGGGCCGUUACUGACGCUGAGGAGCGAAAGCGUGGGGAGCGAACAGG